CCUACGGGAGGCAGCAGUGGGGAAUAUUGGACAAUGGGCGAAAGCCUGAUCCAGCCAUGCCGCGUGUGUGAAGAAGGCCUUCGGGUUGUAAAGCACUUUCAGUGGGGAAGAAAGCCUUGGGGCUAAUACCCUCGAGGAAGGACAUCACCCACAGAAGAAGCACCGGCUAACUCCGUGCCAGCAGCCGCGGUAAUACGGAGGGUGCGAGCGUUAAUCGGAAUUACUGGGCGUAAAGCGCGCGUAGGCGGUCUGAUAAGCCGGUUGUGAAAGCCCCGGACUCAACCUGGGAACGGCAUCCGGAACUGUCAGGCUAGAGUGCAGGAGAGGAAGGUAGAAUUCCCGGUGUAGCGGUGAAAUGCGUAGAGAUCGGGAGGAAUACCAGUGGCGAAGGCGGCCUUCUGGACUGACACUGACGCUGAGGUGCGAAAGCGUGGGUAGCAAACAGGAUUAGAUACCCUAGUAGUC
rnacentral:rRNA from 1 species